GAUGAACGCUGGCGGCGUGCCUAAUACAUGCAAGUCGAGCGAACAGACGAGGAGCUUGCUCCUCUGACGUUAGCGGCGGACGGGUGAGUAACACGUGGAUAACCUACCUAUAAGACUGGGAUAACUUCGGGAAACCGGAGCUAAUACCGGAUAAUAUAUUGAACCGCAUGGUUCAAUAGUGAAAGACGGUUUUGCUGUCACUUAUAGAUGGAUCCGCGCCGCAUUAGCUAGUUGGUAAGGUAACGGCUUACCAAGGCAACGAUGCGUAGCCGACCUGAGAGGGUGAUCGGCCACACUGGAACUGAGACACGGUCCAGCCUCCUACGGGAGGCAGCAGUAGGGAAUCUUCCGCAAUGGGCGAAAGCCUGACGGAGCAACGCCGCGUGAGUGAUGAAGGUCUUCGGAUCGUAAAACUCUGUUAUUAGGGAAGAACAAAUGUGUAAGUAACUAUGCACGUCUUGACGGUACCUAAUCAGAAAGCCACGGCUAACUACGUG
rnacentral:rRNA from 1 species